rnacentral:misc_RNA from 1 species
AAGUCGUAACAAGGUAACCGUAGGUGAACCUGCGGUUGGAUCAUUAAAAAUCCAAGAGAAGUAGGUCGAAAGAUGCUACUACUCUAACUGGCCUUUGGGCCUUAUACCCCUUGUGAACUGUUGUUUUAUUUGGCUAGUGCUUUUGUGCUAGUCUAUUAUAAACGUUAUUUUAUUAGUCUUAUUCUAAGAUGUAAAUCUUUACAACUUUUGACAAUGGAUCUCUAGGCUCUU